UACGAAGGGGGCGAGCGUUGUUCGGAUUUACUGGGCGUAAAGGGCGCGUAGGCGGCCCUUCAAGUCAGGCGUGAAAGCCCCGGGCUCAACCUGGGAGGUGCGCUUGGGACUGGAGGGCUGGAGUUCGGGAGAGGAGCGUGGAAUUCCCAGUGUAGAGGUGAAAUUCGUAGAUAUUGGGAAGAACACCAGUGGCGAAGGCGGCUCACUGGCCCGUAACUGACGCUGAGGUGCGAAAGCGUGGGGAGCAAACAGG
rnacentral:rRNA from 1 species